AAAAGUGAUGGUGUACAUUUUUAUACUUUUCCUAAUCGACCAUGGGAAUUGGAACGAAGGAAAUAUUGGAUAAGUGUUGUCCGUCGUAACACUUCAGACGGUAAGCCAUGGAAGCCAAGUAAAAAUUCAAGAAUUUGCAGUCUACAUUUUUGCGGAGGUGAAAAGUCUAACAAUCCUGCAAAUGAUGCAUACAAUCCAACAAUCUUCCCGUCCGUCUACAAAACGAGAAAAUAUUCAAAUUCAAAAAGAGCGGAGAGAUUAACAGCGAGAAGAAAGAGAUUGCAGGAAGUCACUGCUGGUUUCACACCGCUUAAUAAUUUUUCUUGGACAAACGAGGCAGGAAUCUCCACUGAAACCAUGGACUCA